rnacentral:lncRNA from 1 species
GAAAGAGUGCAUUAUUUUCCAUGGCUUUUUUGCGGGGGACCCUAAUGAAGUGGCUAAUGGUGAGGUGGAAAAUGGAUCAACUGCUUUGAGGAGAUUCUUUUCUUCAAAGAUUCCGAGAAAUAGGGAUAACAAGAGAUAGGAUCCGCCCGGUAUGGGAUGAGUCAACUUAGAUUCUCUCACAAUCCUCUAGUACUCAACCUUAAUUGGCGCUGCUGGGCCGAAGAAGAACUUGUUGUCGAAAAGGAAAAAAAGUACACUACCCUUAUAAUACACUGGCUAGCGCCUUUGUUCGAUUGGACUGGGGCCUCAGCUUUUUUAAGGUAAAGACAUNAUUUUGAAAGCGGGUAUCAGCUUUGAAGCUGGUGAGAUCAUAAGUAUUUUAGUGUCUUAAUUGGUAUGUAAGAAUUUGUAUGUAUAUGAAUUGUAAGUAUUGAAAAUGUAUAUGAACUGUAAGUAUGGAAAAUGUAUAUGAACGGUAAGUGUAAAAANAGAGCGUUGGCUCGUUCUUCUUAAACUUCUUCCAUUGUUAGCCAUGAUUAAUAAUCUCUUGUGAAAUAUCAGAGGCAUAGGCAACAUAAAAUAGAAAAUAAAGAAGGUGUAGUAUAAUAUAUCGUUGAUUGCUAUUCUUGAACCUCUUUACCAUGCUAAUAAGAUUCAGUAAUUCUCCAACAGAAUUGGUUUCCACUUUUCAUUGGCAAAUCAAGAGGCAGAUGAUAAAAGAUGGAUCUGUUGGAAUCAUGAAGUGAAUGUAGUGCUUGUCGACGCCUUUGAACAGUGUAUCACAGUCGACACCAGCUUCCUUAAUUCUGAUCUGGUAAGGCUUACCUUUCUUUAUGCAAAGUGCUCCAUUCAAUUCUUUGGGAAAAACUUCCAUUACUGUCCUAAGACAUACAAGGUCCAUGGAGGGUUGCGGGUGAUUUUAACGCCAUUUCAGAUGUGUCUGAAAAACUUGGUGGCAGACCUCCAAAUCUUGUAUCUUUGUAGGAAUUCAAUGCAAUGAUUAAUGAUUGUGGCAUCAUUGACUGCGGCAGAAAACCUGGUCGAAUAAGCAAGAGUGGGGGCUUUGUUUGGGCGAGGCUUGACAGAGUUUUCACUAAUCCGGCUUGUUGCUAUGAUUUGUGGGAGUCUCUUUCUGAAAUGGAAAGAGUGCAUUAUUUUCCAUGGCUUUUUUGCGGGGGACCCUAAUGAAGUGGCUAAUGGUGAGGUGGAAAAUGGAUCAACUGCUUUGAGGAGAUUCUUUUCUUCAAAGAUUCCGAGAAAUAGGGAUAACAAGAGAUAGGAUCCGCCCGGUAUGGGAUGAGUCAACUUAGAUUCUCUCACAAUCCUCUAGUACUCAACCUUAAUUGGCGCUGCUGGGCCGAAGAAGAACUUGUUGUCGAAAAGGAAAAAAAGUACACUACCCUUAUAAUACACUGGCUAGCGCCUUUGUUCGAUUGGACUGGGGCCUCAGCUUUUUUAAGGUAAAGACAUUGGCAAGGUCCUCUUGCUCUGCUCUGUCCUCAACUACGACGGCUACUGGAGUGAGGUUGCGUAUAUAAUAGAGUGGCAUUUGGGCCCAUAGAUAGAGUCAUCCCAUCCAAUGCCUUUUCGUUACCGCUCCGUGGG